ensembl:lncRNA
UGAUUUUAGUGAUUUAUUGUUAUGAUUACCAUACCUCCUUGUUAUAUUAUAUCCACACAUUCACAUCACCAGAACUACUGUCGAUUUAUUCUAGGAUCUGCCCAAUUUAGGGAUGCCUCCUCUCUCUACAUCAGAACUUACUUGGAUUAUUUUCAUUUUGUUGACUCUUUCAAGACUUUCAGGGAUUGGGGCUUGUCAGGGGUCUCACAUGUCGUGUACUGCCAGCAAAAUUUCUUCAUUCCUGAAACUUCUGCCAGCUGUCUGCAUGGCGAUAGGAAUCCUCAAUUGUUCAAGAGAUUCUGGUCCUGUGGAAUGCGGUUGUGUGAUGUGUUACCCCUGGGGACCACAGCUGCCCCCCGCAACUUGGGCCAUUCGAGCACACUCCAGCCUCCACUCCUGCGGCCGUGUGGUGCCAAAGACUCCAGGACCCACCUUCCUCGGCUUCCACAUGCCACCCCCCAGCACUCGCCGCACCCAGCACUACUCAGUGCACCUUGGAGCUGAUGAUCAUUUCCUGUAGUCAGGGGACCCCCACCUCCAAAUCACUCACUGUGUUCACUGCAAAUUCCAUGUUUCCCUUUGAGUCAGUGGUUUCCAGAGGUCAUACAUUUCUGGAACCUGGUACUAAAGAGAAACCUGAGGGUGCUGCAUAAGCAUGGUUGGAUUUUUCUGAGGCAUGGGUCCCGAGGUUCUAGUCUGGGUCAUGCUGAUGCCACCAAGAAUGCCACCAGCACAUGCGAGGUGGCGAAGCCUGGGUUUUAGCUUGUGCCCUCUGACAUAGUUCAUGUUGCUAUCCAGACCAGCUCUCUCUUUUCUGACCCUGGGUCUCAGCCCUCAUCAUUUCCUCCCCUCAGGCGGGUGGGAGUCCCACAGGCCGCCUGCUGUAAUAGGCGAGGAGACCACCCUUCCUCCUCAGGCGAGGAGACCACCCUUCCAGCCCUUACAGGGAGAGGCCACAGCCCCGCAUGGUAGAGAAUAACUCUGGUGCUUGUUUUCUUAUGAUAAAAUGCAUGCAGUGUGAAAGCUACCACUGAAUCAUUUCUUGGUGUCUAGCUCAGGGAUAGUAAGCACCUUCAAGUUGUUGGACAGCCACCCCUACCAUCACCUCCAGAACUUUCCAUCUCGUAAAGCUAAACUAGUCCCAUGAGCACUACCUUGCUGUUCCCCUCUCCCGGCCCCACUUUCUAUCUCUACGAAUCCAACGACUCUCUUUACCUCCUACGAGUGGAAUGAUGCCGAAUUUGUCCAUUUGUCUCCGCCUUAUUUCACUGAGCAUAACAUCCUUCAGGUUUACCCACGCUGUGGCAGGGGACAGAAUCUCCCUCCUUGUUAAGGCUGAGUAAUACUCCAUUGUUCAGUUGGUCCUUAGACUGGAAGGUUUGUGAACCGCUGGGGCAAGGGUGGCUGCUGAAACAGUUGGCAGUGCAUGGCCUCAGCUACGGUGCUGGUCCCUCCUCCUGCGUCCUCCUCUCCACCCGGGAAGGAGCUGCUGGGCUCUUGGUGCAGUGGGGAGAAGGACUCACCUCUCUUUUCCCUUCUCACUAUUCCUCAUGAUGCUUAUGACAGGUCUUACUGUUACCAUUUGACAAAAGGGGAGACAUAUUGGAAAUGUCCGGUAAUGUCCCCAAAAUGAAGCAGGUGGUCAGUGUCUGUCUGAUUGCCCUGCCAGAUGGUGAGACCCUGUGACCAGACCCAGCUGUUUGUCCUUCCCCCAGCUUCUUGCUCCUGGCACCUACACACAGCCGGCCCCAGGGGAGGGCUUUGAGACAUCUGCGCAUAGGGCAUGGGGACCUCAGACGGAAGUGCAAAUCCUGCUGUGCUGGCUCACCUGCCAGGACAGUUAAUCCCUGUCUGUCCUGGUUUCCUUAUCUCUAAUAUUGGUAAAACAAUGGUGUUUGUUCUGUACGGUUGAUUUGACAAUUAAAACCAGAUAAUCUAUAUAUGGUGCUAAAUGCUUUGAAAUGUCUAGAAAUAUUAAUAUCAGCUCCAUAAGUAGGAGCUGAUAUUAAUAUUGUUAGAAUUGUAAUUUAAGGGGAAAUUUUAAAGUGUGGUUCAUCCAUAAAUGCUAGUUUUAGGCUGUCAUUAAAAAAUUGUGUUUAUGUUCUGUGUUUAUAAACUUGUUUAAUGCUUGUGGAAAUUUUUAUACUAUGUUAAAUUUUUUUAAGUAUACAAAAUUAUAUAUACUAUAUAAUUUCCAUUGUGCUUUAAAAAUAGUAAUAAAGAGAGUGUCU